rnacentral:rRNA from 1 species
UACAGAGGGUGCGAGCGUUGUUCGGAAUUACUGGGCGUAAAGCGCGCGCAGGCGGCUUUCUAAGUCCGUCGGUGAAAGACCGGGGCUCAACCCCGUGUCAGCCAUGGAUACUGGGAGGCUGGAGACAGGUAGAGGCAAGCGGAAUUCCUGGUGUAGCGGUGAAAUGCGCAGAUAUCAGGAGGAACACCGGUGGCGAAGGCGGAUCUCUGGGCCAUUACUGACGCUGAGGAGCGAAAGCGUGGGGAGCGAACAGG